AUGUUAGUGUUCAGCAAACCUAUGGAAGAACACUACACACAUCUAGAAAGAACUUUUUUUGUAUUGAGGAAACAUGAGCUGUAUGUGAAGUUAUUCAAAUGCACCUUUGCAACAAAUCAGGUAUCAUACUUGGGACAUAUCAUUUCGGAUAAGGGAGUAGCUACUAAUCCUGGUAAAAUUCAAGCAGUAGUAGAUAGGCCAGAACCUGAAAAUGUGAAGAAGCUAAGAGGGUUCUAG
rnacentral:rRNA from 1 species